GAUGAACGCUGGCGGCGUGCCUAAUACAUGCAAGUCGAGCGAACGGACGAGAAGCUUGCUUCUCUGAUGUUAGCGGCGGACGGGUGAGUAACACGUGGAUAACCUACCUAUAAGACUGGGAUAACUUCGGGAAACCGGAGCUAAUACCGGAUGAUAUUUUGAACCGCAUGGUUCAAAAGUGAAAGACGGUCUUGCUGUCACUUAUAGAUGGAUCCGCGCUGCAUUAGCUAGUUGGUAAGGUAACGGCUUACCAAGGCAACGAUGCAUAGCCGACCUGAGAGGGUGAUCGGCCACACUGGAACUGAGACACGGUCCAGACUCCUACGGGAGGCAGCAGUAGGGAAUCUGCCGCAAUGGGCGAAAGCCUGACGGAGCAACGCCGCGUGAGUGAUGAAGGUCUUCGGAUCUUAAAACUCUGUUAUUAGGGAAGAACAUAUGUGUAAGUAACUGUGCACAUCUUGACGGUACCUAAUCAGAAAGCCACGGCUAACUACGUG
rnacentral:rRNA from 1 species